GACGAACGCUGGCGGCGUGCCUAAUACAUGCAAGUAGAACGCUGAAGGAGGAGCUUGCUCUUCUGGAUGAGUUGCGAACGGGUGAGUAACGCGUAGGUAACCUGCCUGGUAGCGGGGGAUAACUAUUGGAAACGAUAGCUAAUACCGCAUAACAGUAGAUGUUGCAUGACAUUUACUUAAAAGGUGCAAUUGCAUCACUACCAGAUGGACCUGCGUUGUAUUAGCUAGUUGGUGGGGUAACGGCUCACCAAGGCGACGAUACAUAGCCGACCUGAGAGGGUGAUCGGCCACACUGGGACUGAGACACGGCCCAGACUCCUACGGGAGGCAGCAGUAGGGAAUCUUCGGCAAUAGACGGAAGUCUGACCGAGCAACGCCGCGUGAGUGAAGAAGGUUUUCGGAUCGUAAAGCUCUGUUGUAAGAGAAGAACGAGUGUGAGAGUGGAAAGUUCACAUUGUGACGGUAUCUUACCAGAAAGGGACGGCUAACUACGUG
rnacentral:rRNA from 1 species